rnacentral:rRNA from 1 species
AUUGAACGCUGGCGGCAGGCCUAACACAUGCAAGUCGAGCGAGCGGCGGACGGGUGAGUAAUGCCUGGGAAUUGCCCAGUCGAGGGGGAAAACAGUUGGAAACGACUGCUAAUACCGCAUACGAUUGGAUUGCCCAGGUGGGAUGAGCUAGUUGGUGAGGUAAUGGCUCACAAAGGCCACGAUCCCUAGCGGGUCUGAGAGGAUGAUCAGCCACACUGGAACGGAGAAACGGUACAGACUCCUACGGGAGGCAGCAGUGGGGAAUAUUGCACAAUGGGGGAAACCCUGAGGCAGCCAUGCCGCGUGGGGGAAGAAGGCCUUCGGGUUGUAAAGCACUUUCAGCGAGGAGGCGUUACUCGCAGAAGAAGCACCGGCUAACUCCGUGCCAGCAGCCGCGGUAAUUC